rnacentral:misc_RNA from 1 species
GGAAGGAAGAGCUCUAUAAUCAUGGGAUGACUUAACAACAUACAUUGUGAUUUUUCCUGUUUCCGUCCAAAUUAUAUAUAAAAUAACAUAUGCAUAUAAAUUUCUACUCUUAUGCAAUCAAAUUGUAAUUGUAUCCACAACUUAGUAAUUGUUCCAAAUCCAACUAGGAUGUACUUAGGGUCUGUGAUUCAGAUCUUCAAAGGGACAACAAAA